GUACUAGCUUUGGCAGCAUGUAUAUUAAAACUGGAAUGAUACAAAGAAGAUUAGCAUGACCCCUGCAAAUUUGUGAAGCUUUCCAGGAUCUGGAACUAACAUAGUGUU
ensembl:snRNA U6 U6 spliceosomal RNA